GGCGGCGUGCCUAAUACAUGCAAGUCGAGCGAACAGAUAAGGAGCUUGCUCCUUUGACGUUAGCGGCGGACGGGUGAGUAACACGUGGGUAACCUACCUAUAAGACUGGGAUAACUUCGGGAAACCGGAGCUAAUACCGGAUAACAUUUGGAACCGCAUGGUUCUAAAGUGAAAGAUGGUUUUGCUAUCACUUAUAGAUGGACCCGCGCCGUAUUAGCUAGUUGGUAAGGUAACGGCUUACCAAGGCAACGAUACGUAGCCGACCUGAGAGGGUGAUCGGCCACACUGGAACUGAGACACGGUCCAGACUCCUACGGGAGGCAGCAGUAGGGAAUCUUCCGCAAUGGGCGAAAGCCUGACGGAGCAACGCCGCGUGAGUGAUGAAGGGUUUCGGCUCGUAAAACUCUGUUAUUAGGGAAGAACAAAUGUGUAAGUAACUGUGCACAUCUUGACGGUACCUAAUCAGAAAGCCACGGCUAACUACGUGCCAGCAGCCGCGGUAAUACGUAGGUGGCAAGCGUUAUCCGGAAUUAUUGGGCGUAAAGCGCGCGUAGGCGGUUUCUUAAGUCUGAUGUGAAAGCCCACGGCUCAACCGUGGAGGGUCAUUGGAAACUGGGAAACUUGAGUGCAGAAGAGGAAAGUGGAAUUCCAUGUGUAGCGGUGAAAUGCGCAGAGAUAUGGAGGAACACCAGUGGCGAAGGCGACUUUCUGGUCUGUAACUGACGCUGAUGUGCGAAAGCGUGGGGAUCAAACAGGAUUAGAUACCCUGGUAGUCCACGCCGUAAACGAUGAGUGCUAAGUGUUAGGGGGUUUCCGCCCCUUAGUGCUGCAGCUAACGCAUUAAGCACUCCGCCUGGGGAGUACGACCGCAAGGUUGAAACUCAAAGGAAUUGACGGGGACCCGCACAAGCGGUGGAGCAUGUGGUUUAAUUCGAAGCAACGCGAAGAACCUUACCAAAUCUUGACAUCCUUUGAAAACUCUAGAGAUAGAGCCUUCCCCUUCGGGGGACAAAGUGACAGGUGGUGCAUGGUUGUCGUCAGCUCGUGUCGUGAGAUGUUGGGUUAAGUCCCGCAACGAGCGCAACCCUUAAGCUUAGUUGCCAUCAUUAAGUUGGGCACUCUAGGUUGACUGCCGGUGACAAACCGGAGGAAGGUGGGGAUGACGUCAAAUCAUCAUGCCCCUUAUGAUUUGGGCUACACACGUGCUACAAUGGACAAUACAAAGGGCAGCUAAACCGCGAGGUCAUGCAAAUCCCAUAAAGUUGUUCUCAGUUCGGAUUGUAGUCUGCAACUCGACUACAUGAAGCUGGAAUCGCUAGUAAUCGUAGAUCAGCAUGCUACGGUGAAUACGUUCCCGGGUCUUGUACACACCGCCCGUCACACCACGAGAGUUUGUAACACCCGAAGCCGGUGGAGUAACCAUUUAUGGAGCUAGCCGUCG
rnacentral:rRNA from 1 species